GAUCGACUCUCUGGAGAUUCUGGAUAAACAGAAGCCGAAGGUGCAACAUAUAUGUUUCUUAUGCAUAUAUCAAUCUCUCAGGCAAAAGGACAGAGAAGGCAUA
rfam:Eubacterium sp. CAG:252 genomic scaffold, scf33